CCUUCCUCCAGCUCCGCGGCGCAGGGAUAUGCGCUGUGCUGAGGCUGAGCUGAAUGAGAUUGAAGAAGAGUUCUUCUUGUUUUGUAGCUUCAGUUUCUCUGUUUUUACACAAAUUUUACUGAAACUAAAUAUAAAAUACAGCAACAAAAUAAAAGCUCGGCGGGAAAAGAGUGAGCCGGACUGUUUGUACGCUGUUAUUCCAUCGUGGAUCGGCUUCUUAUAGAGAUAUAUAUAUAUAUUUAAUUAAUCUAGAGGAGGACUGCUGCUGAGGCAGCCCAGAGGGGUGGAGUCAGUCCCACAGCCAGGUGCGGCACUUUAAUGCUUCAGGUGGAUGGUUUUCCUCCUGGAGACGGUGUUCAGGUAAGA